rnacentral:misc_RNA from 1 species
AGUGAAGCGGCAACAGCUCAAAUUUGAAAUCUGGCUCUCGGGCCCGAGUUGUAAUUUGUAGAGGAUGCUUUUGGUGAGGUGCCUUCCGAGUUCCCUGGAACGGGACGCCAUAGAGGGUGAGAGCCCCGUCUGGUUGGACACCGACCCUCUGUAAAGCUCCUUCGACGAGUCGAGUAGUUUGGGAAUGCUGCUCUAAAUGGGAGGUAUAUGUCUUCUAAAGCUAAAUACCGGCCAGAGACCGAUAGCGCACAAGUAGAGUGAUCGAAAGAUGAAAAGAACUUUGAAAAGAGAGUUAAAAAGUACGUGAAAUUGUUGAAAGGGAAGCGCUUGUGACCAGACUUGGGCUUGGUUGAUCAUCCGGGGUUCUCCCCGGUGCACUCUUCCGGCCCAGGCCAGCAUCAGUUCGCCCUGGGGGACAAAGGCUUCGGGAAUGUGGCUCUCUCCGGGGAGUGUUA